UACGUAGGGUGCAAGCGUUAAUCGGAAUUACUGGGCGUAAAGCGCGCGUAGGCGGCUUUGUAAGUUAGAGGUGAAAGCCCGGAGCUCAACUCCGGAACUGCCUUUAAGACUGCAUCGCUAGAAUUGUGGAGAGGUGAGUGGAAUUCCGAGUGUAGAGGUGAAAUUCGUAGAUAUUCGGAAGAACACCAGUGGCGAAGGCGGGUUGCUGGGCUGACACUGACGCUGAUGCGCGAAAGCUAGGGGAGCGAACGGG
rnacentral:rRNA from 1 species